UAUUUGCUCUGCCCAGGAAAGGUACAGAGCCCAUUCUCCUAAGUGUUGUAGCUGAUGAGAAGCUGGGCCAGCUUUCCUGUUCUGACAAAUCCAGAGAUAGCUUUCCUGCCUGUUCCAGAGGCCUAAUGUCAGAUUCCUGCCUGAAGCCUACUUCCCAGUUCUUGGCCAUUGUCAUAUUGGGUAAUAAGGGACUCUGAACUCUAAAGGACGGAACCCUCUUGGCAAUUCCAGUGUACCACAGUCAAGGCAAAGUCCAUUUUCAGGUUGCCGUUUCCGUUCCUUAGAAAAUUGGAAAUAGCUCUACCUGAAGACCCA